rnacentral:rRNA from 1 species
GACGUAGGAUGCAAGCGUUGUCCGGAAUUAUUGGGCGUAAAGAGUUCGUAGGCGGUUGCCUAAGUCUGAUGUUAAAGCCCGGAGCUCAACUCCGGCAUGGCAUUGGAAACUGGGCGGCUAGAGUGUGGCAGAGGUAUCGGGAAUUCCAGGUGUAGCGGUGAAAUGCGUAGAUAUCGGGAGGAACAUCAGUGGCGAAGGCGGCUAUCUGGACUAACACUGACACUGAGGCACAAAAGCGUGGGUAGCAAACAGG